rnacentral:tRNA from 1 species
GGGCCUGUAGUCUAGCGGCUAUGACGCCACCCUCACACGGUGGAGGUCGCAGGUUCGAAUCCUGCCGGGCCCA